rnacentral:lncRNA from 1 species
GUUUGCUUCUUUUUGCUCUAAAGCUUUCAGUUGUUCUGUCAGUUCUCUAGUGUGACUAUACUCCAGUUUCUUCAUGUGGGCACUUAGUGCUGUGAACUUUCAGAGUGCCCCAUAAGUUUGGGUAUGUUGUGUCUACAUUCUCAUUAUAUUCUAGAAAAUCUUUAAUUUCUAUUUUUAUUUAUUCCUCAGUCCAGGAAUGGUGAAAUAGGUGUUAUUCAAUUUCCAUGAAUUUGUAGGUUUUCUGCAAUUUGUAUUGCUGUUGAAUUCUAACUUUAAAGACUGGUGAUCUGAUAAGAUACAGGGCAUUAUUUCAAUUCUUUUGUAUCUGUGGAGGUUUGCUUUGUUGCCAACUAUGUGAUCAAUUUUAGAGAAGGUUCCAUGUGGCACUGAGAAGAAGAUAUAUUCUUUUGUGUUUGGAUGGAAUGUUCUAUAGAUAUCUGUUAAACCAUGUUGAGUCAUAACUUCUGUUAGCUCCUUUGUUUCUUUGUUAAGUUUCUGCCUGGUGGUCCUGUCUAGUGGUGAAAGUGCAGUGUUGAAGUCUCCUACUAUAAGUGUGUGUGGUUUUAUGUGUGGUUUGAGCUUUAGUAAUAUUUCUUUUACAAAUGUGGGUGCCUUAGUAUUUGGGGCAUAGAUGUUCAGGAUUGAGAUUUCAUCUUGAGGGAAUUUUCCUGUGAUGAGUAUGAAUUACCCUUCUCCAUCUCUUUUGAUUGAUUUUAUUUUGAAGUCUAAUUUGUUAGAUAUUAGGAUUGCUAUACCAACUUGUUUUUUGGGCCCAUUUGAUUGGAAAAUCUUUUCCCAACCCUUUACUCUGAGGUAAUGUCUGUCUUUGUUGUUUAGGUGUGUUUCUUGUAUACAGCAGAAUAAUGGAUUCUGUCUUUGUAUCCAUUCUGUUAGCCUGUAUCUUUUUAUAGGCAGGUUAAGACCAUUUACAUUGAGGGAUAUUAAUGUCUAUUGAUUGUUGGUUCUUGUUUGUUUUGGAUUUAUUGUUGGUGGGUUCAUUGUUUGUGGAUUUUGCCCUCCUGUUUCUUUUCAUGUUUGGUAAAAUUGGAUUGUCUAUUGCCUAUGUUUUUGUGAGUGUAGUUUUCUUCAUUGGUUUGGAGUUUUCUUUCCAGAACUUUCUGCAGUGCUGGAUUUGUGGCUAUGUAUUUUUUAAGUCUGGUUUUGUCAUAGAAUAUAUUGUUUUCUCCAUCUUUAGUGAUUGAAAGUUUUUCUGGGUACAACAGUAGUCUGGGUUGGCAUCCAUGCUCCCUUAGUGUUUGUAGGAUAUCUCUCCAGGUCCUUCUGGCUUUCAAAGUUUCCAUUGAGAAUUCGGGAGUGAUUCUGAUCGGUCUGCCUUUAUAUGUUACUUGCCCUUUUUCCUUUGCUGCUCUUAAUAUUUUCUCCUUAUUCUGUAGGUUUUGUGUUUUGAUUAUUAUGUGUCGAUGGGACUUAUUUUUGUGGUCCAGUCUGUUUGGUGUUCUGUAAGCUUCUUGUACUUUCAUAGGCAUUAUACUUUUGUAGGUUGGGGAAGUUUUCUUCUAUUAUUUUGUUGAAUUUUUUCUGUACCUUUGAGCUGUAUUUCUUCACCUUCUUCUAUAUCUAAUUAUUCCUAGCUUUGGCCUUUUCAUGGUGUCCAAUAUGUCCUGGAUAUUUUUGUUAGAGAUUUCUUGGACUUGAGAUUUUCUUUGGUCAAUGACUGUAUAUCCUCUAGAGAGUCUUCAAUAAAUGAGAUUCUCUCUUCCAUCUCUUGAAUUCUAUUAGUUAUACUCACAUCUUUAGUUCCAGCCUUUCUAUUUCCAGCAUCACCUCAUUCUGUGUUUUCUUUAUUGUUUCUAUUUCAGCUUUCAUGCCUUGAACUGUUUCGAAUGCUUCCCUCACUUGCUUGUUUUUUCUUGGCUUUCUUUAGAUUCUUUAAGAGAUUUGUUUAUUUUUUGAAAUUUUGGUUUGUCUUUUCCUCUACUUCAUGCAAUUUUUUGCUUGUUUUCUCUUCCAUUUGUUUAAGGGAUUUUCUUGUUUCCUCUUAAAAGUCUCUAUCAUCUUCCUAAGAUAAUUUUUGAGGUCCAUCUCUUCUUCAUCUUCUGUGUUGGGCUAUUCAGAUCUUCCUGGUGUGGAUUCCCAGAUUCUGGUGGUGUCAUAUUGGUAUUUCUGUUUUUGAGUGUGUUCUUAUUCAGUCUUCUUCCCCUGUCUUCUUCCAGUGAGUGCAGGUGGGGUCUCUCUAUCUCCUCUUGUCAUCCAGUUGUCUGUGUGGGCCAAGACUUCAGUGUCUGCAGCUCUGGAUGGUCUUGCCUCUCCUGGUAGUCUCUUCACUCAGGAAUGGUCAGGCUGGCAGCAGAAAGGGGAAGGAAGUGUGAGGUGUUUCCAGACUCAGGGAGCUUCUCCCUGCCUGGGUGUGUCCACUCUAAACUGGUGCAGGCCCAGAGAGAUCCAGGGUGAAUGGGAACUUUGGUAGGAAUAGGACAUGAGCAGAGGGUACACUCACCUUGGUAGGGGUCAUGCCAGUGGACCUAGCCCUUUCUUAAUUAUUAACCCAUUUCUAUUAAUCUAAGUAUUUCCAUAUGGUCUUAUCUUACCAGAGAAGGGUCUACAUGGUGUCUCUCCUCAGCCUCUCUCUCCUCUCCCCCAGAAUUCUCCUGGUCUGGUAGCGCUGCCUUUACUCCCUGGCUAUUGGCCAGACAGUGUUUUAUUCAUGAACCAAUAAGAGAAACAUAUAUAACAGAAGGACAUCCCCAUCAGACUUUCAUGUUUAUUCACCUGAAACUUAUUGAUCAAUACAGAAUUCCUGACCAGCACACAAGUUUAAGAAGCAGAAGAAACACAAAGCUUUACAGAAUUUUGACUUUAUGAUCAUUUUAAACAACAUUGCAUCCAAUAUUUCAUUUAAAACUAGAUAUCUCUCCCUUCUCAUAGAACUAUAAGGCAUGAAGCAUAGUUACAUUGGUAAUGGAUUUCUGGGUGUCUGUCACACCUCUGUGGUAUAACCUGCAAAUAGUUCACAGAGGCAUGUGGCCAAGAGGGAGCAUCACUCUCCCAGAGCUCUGUCUCAAGAGUGGGAAGAGAAGCAGCCAGGAGACAGUGAGCAGCAGGACCAUGAGUGCUUCCAUGGAGACCCUUCUGACUGACACAGCUAUGAUUGGUAAUGUAGCACAGAGUUCUAUCCUGUGCCUGCAGAAUCAACAUAUUGCACUUUUGGAUAUCAGUAUUCAAUCAGUUUGUCACUGUCUAAUUUGUCUUUUAAGUAGACUUUAACACAGUCCCAGUGAUAAUACAAAAAAGUCAAAUAGUCUAAUUAAAAAAUCAAAGAAAGGGGUGUUUUGUUUAACACUAUCUGGAAUUCAUCAAUCAGUUCAAUAAUAAUGUAAACUAAAACAAAGAAGAAUAUAAAAUAUAAAAUAUAGAGAGAAAAUAUUAAGCACAAAUCACCUUGAAAUUCCACAUAGAUUGACAGACAAAUCAUUAGCUAUAAUUAGGAAAAUAAAUAAGAAUAGUUAAACUAAAUUCAACAUCAUGAUUAAAACAUAAAAUCAUAAUAAUUUACCCCAUUAUGUAAAUGUCCCACAUUUUCUUUAUCCAUUCUUCAGUUGGGGGGCAUCUAGGUUGCUUCCAGGUUCUGGCUAUUACAUAUAAUAAUGCUAUUACACAUAAUACAUAGUUGAACAGAUAUCAUUGCUGUAUGAAUGUGCAUCCUUUGGGUACAUGCCUAAGAGUGGAACUGUUGGAUCUUGAGGUAGACUGAUUCCCAAUUUCCUGAGGAACCGUCAUACUGAUUUCCAAAGUGGCUGUACAAGUUUGCACUCCCACCAGCAGUGGAGCAGUGUUCCCCUUUCUCCACAUCCUCUCUAUCAUAAACUGAUAUUGAUGUUUUUUAGUUUACUCAGCAGGAAAAUACAAUGGAACCUUGAAUUCUCGGGCAAAUGGAUGGAACUAGAAGAAACCAUCCUGAGUGAGGGACUCAUCCAGUAGCUGAUGGAAACAAAAGCAGAGACCCACAGUAAAACACUGAGCCAAAUUACUGGAUCCAGUUUUAGAGAGGGAGGAGUGAUGAGCAAAGAGGUCAAGACAAAGACGGUUAAAUCAACAGAAACAGCUGACCUGAACAAGGAGGAGCUCAUGGAUCCCAGACUUACAGCUUGGAAACCAGUAGAGGAUGGAACCAGGCCUUCUGCAUGUGUGUGUCAGUAAGGGGGUCUGGGAAGUCUAUGGGGUCCCUGGUAAUGGAACAGCAUUUAUACCUAGUGUACGAACAGAUAUUGGGAGCCCAUUCCACAUAAAGGGAUAUUCUCUCAGCCUUGACACACAGGGGAGGGCCUAGGCCUUGCUCCAAAUGAUGUGAUAGACUUUAAUAAUUCCCAUAGAAGGCCUCACCCUUUCUAUGGAGCAGAAGAGGGAUGGGAUGGAAGCCGGUGUGGGGCAUGAGAGAAUGGGAGGGAGAAGGAACUGGAAUUUAUAUAUAAAGUAGGGUUAUUAUAAUUUAAAUUAAAAAGGGAAAAAAGAAAAACACAAUCAUUUUAAUAAGCCAGAUCAAAAGAAUGAUAUAAAUUCUAGAAAACAAUAACCAGAGAAAACUCAUUAUUCAGUAAAAUUUUAAGAAAAUAUUUACAAGCCAUGACAGUGAAAAGGAAUACUUUGGGGGUGGGGAAACAAAGCCUAAAUUUCUAAGUGAUAUAAUCUCUUGAUGAGUUGAGGAAUUCAUGUUGUAAACCCCUUCCAAUCAAUUUGAAGAUUUUUCUCUCAAUGAUAAAAUUUCCCAAUAAUCUUUGUGAAAUUUAGCAGAGUUUGAAAACACACAUGGAAAUAUGAAAUCCUAAGCCCUGCUUCUCAAGGAAAACGUUGAAAGGCAUAGUAAAUGUGAAAGCAUUCCUACCAUGCCCCUGCCUGAACUCCCAAUAAUGAAGCAGCAAAAGCCACUUGCAGUGCAGCAUGACUCAGAGACUGGAACCACUCUGGGGAUAUGGGAGAAUCAAGAGCAUAGAGAAGAGACAAGCUUGCCUUGGGGAUGAGAGAGUUACUGAAUUUAAUGUCACAGGUCAAUCCAUGGGACAGGUUACUGGGGGAAAUGAUCAACAAGUCUCUGAGUACAGCAUGCGGCCCCUGUCCUGUGUGUAGGACCCAUGGCAUCUGCCAAGUAUACAGUCAAUCAAUCUCUUCCUGGAUUUUAUCUGGUCAUAUACAAUGAGAAAUGAUGGAAUAGCAGAAAAUUAUCAUGUUUGUCAUAACAUUGCAGGCUCACACAGUGCAUGACCAAGUUGCCCUAGUUUUAUAGAUGCCGAUUUUGAAGAUCACCUGCAGAGUAAAUUAGAAUAUAUAGAUUGCUAAAAUAUGGGUUCCCACCACUCUCAUACUACAUACCUUCUUUUUGUGUAUAAGUGUGCACACAUUUGUGUUCAUGUGUGUGUGUGUGUGUGUGUGUGUGUGUGUGUGUGUGUGUGUGUGUGUGUGCGCGCGCGCGUGCGUGCAUGUACCUUUAUUCAUAUGUGUGUGCACAUGUGUAUGCUGUAUGUGUAGACAGUAUGAAAAUCCCAUAUUUUUUCUUUAGGAGUCAUUCCCUUUAUUUCCUCACAGGGUCUCAGGGCCUCCUGUUGACUGUUUAGGAAGACCCUCUGCCCAGUGUGCCCCUCACUUCUGCUGUCUGCUGCUCUCGAAUGCUGAGAUUACAAGCAUGUGUUACCACAUCGGGUAUUUUCACAUGGGUUCAGGAAAAAGUGAUGUUUUUCACAUUAAUUCAGUACUACACAGGACAUAAAGAACAUGUCUCAGCAGC